AAUUGCUCAUAUACUGUAAGCCUAAAUAAGUAUAUUUAUUAUUUUGAACAAAGGUUAAAUGUUAUUUCACAAGUUUCCAAUUUCUUGAACUGCCAAAAACUGCCCCCAAAAACAUAUGUAAAUGUCCUACCCUGGGUGAGGGUCAACAAUAACAGGGUGAGUGCAGCCAGAUCAGACCGGAUAUACAUUUCACAGGGUCUCGGCUCCAGAUUGCUCCACAGUAGCAUCAGGCCAGUUGGCUUCAGUGACCACCACAUCAUCACUAGGUCAAAGGUCAAGUCGUACUGGCUCUUCAACAACAAGCUCCUGCAGGACACUGCAUUCUGCAAGAGCUUUGAGCUUUUUUGGCUGAUUUCGAAAAGCAGAAAAACUGACUUUAGUUCUGUGAGGCUGUGGUGGGAGGUCGCAAAAACACACGUUUGUGUUUUUUGCCAGCAGUACACCUCCCAUUCCACCGCUAAGAUCAGGGCAGCAGUCCAGAGACCAAGACCCUGCUACGGGUCAACUGCUCCAGGAGAGGAGGUUGAGUUGAGCUCCUUCCUGCAGGAGAGGGUGAAGGGAGCUCUGGUCAGGUCUCGCUUCCUCCAGCUGAAGGACAUGGAGGCCCGAGCUCUUUCUUCUUCAACCUGGAGAGAACAGUGGCACAGAGGAAGCAGAUGACCUGCCUCAGGCUUCCAGGAGGCAGGGUGACCACCAGCCCGGGCGAGAUGAGGAACCAUGCCAUGGAUUCCAACGCUGACCUCUUUGGGGCGGAGCAGUGCAGCACGGAGUGUCGGCAGGAGCUUCUGGAGGGGCAUCCUCAGCUCAGCCACAAACGGGUACAGAGCACCUUGAUCCGGAGCUGGGGGGGGGGUGUUUAUUCUGCUCCCAGAGUGGAACUCUUGUACAUCUGUUCGUUCAGUGUCCUCGGCUCUCAGCACUGUUUGAACUUUUAGAAAGGUGGUUCCAGGGUCUUGUUUUGUUUGUCUUUGGUCCCAAAUACUCUGCUAAGAGGAAAACAGUUACAACGUUGGUGAACUGUUUGUCCGGUACGGCUAAGAUGGCCAUCUGGUUAACACGCAGGAACCGGGCUCAGAGUGCCGGUGAUUUAUGCUUCGUGGGGGAGGAGGGGAGCUGAUCGGUCAUGUGUGAGAUGUUGGUAUGUUUCUGUGGUUGGACGAGUUGUUUUGUUUAUUUAUCUUUUGAUUUGAUGACGUGAUUCUUCUUCUUCUUCUCCUUCUCCUUCUUCUUCUUCUUCUCCUUCUCCUCCUUCCACAGCUAGCUCAAUGCUAGCUGUGUUCAUUGCUGUGAGUGAGGGACGCUAACGUUGUGUUUCAGCUUCACAGAGACGCUCACCAAAGACUCGGCUAAGAUCAAAGCCAACAUCCGCAUGGUGAUCGAGGGUCUCAGAGAGCUUCAGGGACUAUCGGACGUCCUCUAGUCUUCAUGUUGGACGUCGUCACUUUAAUCUUCCUCUCAUCGUUCAGGACACGGUUCCCACGGUGAUGUGAUAUUAUGGUCUGUAAUGGACAAAGAAACUUUGUUCCUUUAUUGAUCCUCUGUGAUCGUGACAGGAAGUCUCUUCAGACCUUCAAAAUAAAGUGUUUGUCAUAAACCAA